rnacentral:rRNA from 1 species
AACGAACGCUGGCGGCAUGCCUAACACAUGCCAGUCGAACGAGACCUUCGGGUCUAGUGGCGCACGGGUGCGUAACGCGUGGGAACCUGCCCUUAGGUUCGGAAUAACUCCCCGAAAGGGGUGCUAAUACCGGAUAAUGUCUUCGCACCAAAGAUUUAUCGCCUUUGGAUGGGCCCGCGUUGGAUUAGCUAGUUGGUAGGGUAAAAGCCUACCAAGGCGACGAUCCAUAGCUGGUCUGAGAGGAUGAUCAGCCACACUGGGACUGAGACACGGCCCAGACUCCUACGGGAGGCAGCAGUGGGGAAUAUUGGACAAUGGGCGAAAGCCUGAUCCAGCAAUGCCGCGUGAGUGAUGAAGGCCUUAGGGUUGUAAAGCUCUUUUACCCGGGAUGAUAAUGACAGUACCGGGAGAAUAAGCGCCGGCUAACUCCGUG